ensembl:lncRNA
AAGGUAAGUCAAGUCAGAGCAGAAAGUCUUCAAUUCAUAGUCAUGGCAUUAAAUGUUUUUUAGUAUUUUCGGUUCGGUUUUCUAACACAAAUAUCUAAACAUCCUCAAAUCGACAGAUUUACAUGAGAUGCAAAAUGAAGAAAUUAAGUGUCUUUCUGAGAAAUGUAACAAAAUGAAAUGAUGGCUUUGAUUUGACUCUCUUGACAGAUUUUUGUACUUUUUUUAAUCGUAAACUCACUUCAUUUGGUUCAGUUUCCCAGAAAACAAGACUUAUGUCACUUUGUUUAUUAAAUGAAUAUAACUUAUUGUAAAAAUCUUUAGACACUUUUACUGGAAAACACUGAGGAAGAUCAUCAUUUUUUUGCCGUAUGAUCAGACAUAAAAGUUAUUUCCGUAUUUUGUUGUGGUUGGGAGUAGAGCUAUUUUUUUGUAAAAUGAUUAAAAAAGUAAUACAGAUUGGUUGCAACUCAUUGUGUUCCUUAAAAUAUCUUUACCUGAUCUUAAAAAGGUCUUAAAGUCUUACACUUAUUUUCACAAAACCUGCAGAAACCCCGUAAUUCAAAAUGAUUUGAAGAACUGAAUUAAAAUCCUUAUCCAAAAAUCCCCCGUGUUCCAAACGCACGAGGAGAGACCGAAAGAGCGCGGUACAGAAGAAAGUGAAGCUGUGCCUGAUGUAUAAGAAGCACAACUUCAGCGUAACAUCAGCAUCUUUAUCAUUUUAUUAGCAUCCUCCCCUUCAAUCCCUUCCCCAACGUAAAACCUACAAAUGAAAACCCGUGCUUCUGUUUGUCCGUGCGUUUGUCAUGGUAGAGCAGAGCAAAUACGAACCAACAGCUAAUGAGCAUCAGAAAUAAGAUGGAUUUCCCUUGAUUAAAGCCAAAAGAUUCCUGCAGAACGAGAGGAAGCUUCUGUUAGAGAUCAGCCAGCCGUCUGAAGGGCGCUCA